rnacentral:rRNA from 1 species
CAGCCGCCGCGGUAAUACCAACCCCGCGAGUGGUCGGGACGUUUAUUGGGCCUAAAGCGUCCGUAGCCGGCCCGGUAAGUCCCUCCUUAAAGCCCACGGCUCAACCGUGGGAGCGGAGGGAUACUGCCGGGCUAGGGGGCGGGAGAGGCCGGGGGUACUCCUGGGGUAGGGGCGAAAUCCUAUAAUCCCAGGCGGACCACCAGUGGCGAAGGCGCCCGGCUAGCACGCGCCCGACGGUGAGGGACGAAAGCUGGGGGAGCAAAGGGGAUUAGAUACCCCCGUAGUCCCAGCUGUAAACGAUGCAGGCUAGGUGUUAGGCGGGCUUCGUGCCCGCCUAGUGCCGUAGGGAAGCCGUUAAGCCUGCCGCCUGGGGAGUACGGCCGCAAGGCUGAAACUUAAAGGAAUUGGCGGG